GACUUGAUCUCUUAGUAACGAAGCUAACGCGAUAAGUUGACCGCCUGGGGAGUACGGCCGCAAGGUUAAAACUCAAAUGAAUUGACGGGGGCCCGCACAGGCGGUGGAGCAUGUGGUUUAAUUCGAAGCAACGCGAAGAACCUUACCUACUCUUGACAUCCAGCGAACUUGGCAGAGAUGCCUUGGUGCCUUUGGGAACGCUGAGACAGGUGCUGCAUGGCUGUCGUCAGCUCGUGUUGUGAAAUGUUGGGUUAAGUCCCGUAACGAGCGCAACCCUUAUCCUUAUUUGCCAGCACUUCGGGUGGGAACUCUAAGGAGACUGCCGGUGACAAACCGGAGGAAGGUGGGGAUGACGUCAAGUCAUCAUGGCCCUUACGAGUAGGGCUACACACGUGCUACAAUGGUCGGUACAGAGGGUCGCGAACCUGCGAGGGUGAGCCAAUCUCAGAAAACCGAUCGUAGUCCGGAUUGCAGUCUGCAACUCGACUGCAUGAAGUCGGAAUCGCUAGUAAUCGCGAAUCAGCAUGUCGCGGUGAAUACGUUCCCGGGCCUUGUACACACCGCCCGUCACACCAUGGGAGUGGAUUCCACCAGAAGCAGGUAGCUUAACCUUCGGGAGGGCGCUUGCCACGGUGAGGUUCAUGACUGGGGUG
rnacentral:rRNA from 1 species